rnacentral:lncRNA from 1 species
GCUGUCCUCCUCACUGCACUCCUCGUCCUCGUCGAACUCGUAGUUGUAGCCCUCGUCCGAGUCCAUGGCGCGACGCGCGGGGGCCCGUCAGACGCGGCUCCGCUCCGGCCUCCGAGAGAAAACAGUCCCCAACGCCACCUCCACGGCCGCUGCUAUCGCUACUGAGCCAACAAAGGGGCGUGCGUCACCGCGUCGCGCUGCGUCGUCGCGUCACUCCUCUUUGCGUCACUGCGCCCCGCCCCACCGCCCCUGCGUGGAGCCCGGGGAGACCCCACGGCCCGGCCUUCCUGGGCCUGGGACCCGAGGGGAGCCGAGCGGGAAUUGCUUUCCUGGUUCGAUCCGCUGCCGCUGUGAGGGCCGAGCGGAAACCCGUAGACCUUUUAUGUGAAGAGAUUGCGGCCUCCUGGUCACCAGUCACCGAGAGAGGGACCCCUGGACCGCCUACGUGGUGGUGUCUGCCGCAGGCCAUAGGGAUCCAGCCCACUUAGGCAGUCCCUUGGGGACGCGGCCUUCCCUCCGGAGCGGAAAGGCGCUUCCCGCCCGCCCUGCGGUAAUCCCGGAAGCCCUCAGCCGUUAAGCUAAAAUUUCUGUUGCUUUGGCUACUGAUGGAAACCUGUUGUAAGUGGAACCUCUAAACUGUAUGACAGGUGAACCCACUUUAGGUAGCUGUGUGAUUCUGUCCACUUGUACAGACGUGCAGUGGUUUUUAAGUCUCCUAUAAUGACGUCAUUUUAAAGAGGCAUUUCCUCCACCCCGCUGACAAGAGCGCCUCUUGAGGGCCCUAAACAAUGUAAACAGCGAUGAUUUUCAUGAAUUGAGCACUGUGUAAGGGCUUUACAUAUAUUCUGUCUCAUCUUCACGGAGCCAUAGUACCCAUUUUAUACCUGAGGAACCUGAAGCUCAGAAAGGAAAAGGGACCUGGCCAAGACCACAUAACCCUUGCCCUAUUUUAACCGCUGGAUGCCCCAAAACAUGAAUCAUAAAAAUGCUUUGUAAUGUAGAUAUAUUAUGUACUAUGUAGUACAUAAAAGACAUGAAUGCUUCAACAAAAUACAGGCAAUAAUAGAAAUAUCUACAAGGGCCAAAUGUAGCCAGAGAGAUAAUGCUUGAAUCUCAUCUGAAAGUGUGCUAUGUGAGCUGAGUGUUGAUGAAUGGCUAGGAGUUCAACAGAGAAGGUAGGGAAGAUGGUCUAGCCGCAGAGAACAAGCAAAAGCGCAGAAGGUGUCAAGUAAGUAAUAGUUUGGGGAGCUUAAAGUGCAUGGAGGGUACAUGGCAAAAUAUUAGGCAAGUUAGUCAGGGGUCAUGUCAGUUAAGAGCAUUUUAUGCCUAAGAGUGGGCUUAAAUCUUUGCAAACAGGACAUGCGAGCCAGAGAAGUGUUAUGAAGGAAGAAGAGGCAUAAGAAGGCUCCCUCUUGAGAUAAUCUGAAGAAUUGGCCAGAUUGAAAACCUUUUAAAAUCAAAACCCCUGAUUUGUUGAUAAAUCUUACUGUUCAACCUAUAGGUUCCCUUUGGAAAUUGAUUUUGAAAAGUGAAAAAUUCCAUUAUAAUGUUAAAAAGCCUCUUCCAAUUUGUCCAUUUUGUAAGUUUUAAAAUACCGAUAAUUAUAUUUCUUAACCUCAGGAUUUACAAAGUAAAGCAUUUAACCUCAAUACUGGUAGUCUAGGUUUUUGUUGUUGUUGUUGUUGUUUGUUUUUUUCUUGAGACGGAGUCUCGCUCUGUUGCCCAGAUUGGAGUACAGUGGUGAUCUCAGCUCACUGCAGCCUCUGCCUCCCAGGUUCAAGCGAUUCUCCUGUCUCAGCCUCCUGAGUAGCUGGGACUACAGGCGCAUGCCACCACCCCAGGCUAAUUUUUGUAUUUUUAGUAGAGAUGGGGUUUCACCAUAUUGGCCAGGCUGGUCUCGAAUUCCUGACUUCAGGUGAUCCACCUGCCUCGGCCUCCCAAAGUGCUGUGAUAACAGGCAUAAGCCACAGCGCCCAGCCAGGUCUAGGUUCUUUGAUUCAGUGUUUCUAUUUAGCAAUUCUAGAUUGCUGCCACAACUAAGGCAAGCCAUGGACACAAGGAACACUUCUGUCCACCCCGUCUCCAUUGUGAUAUUACCUACAGAAAAAUUCAGUAACACUCGUCAGUACCCUAAACUCCUUUGCCUCACCUUUCUUUUCAUUGUACCCCUAUCUUGAAUGAACCCUACCAUCCAUAGUCUCCACUUUGAUAAAUGGAGCAGCUGACCACUAUUAGAGAAAUGUGCAUAGCCAUCUGUAUUCUAUUACUACAUUUCUUCUUUUUUUUUUUUUUUUUGGAGACACUCUUGCUCUGGCACCCAGGCUGGAAUGCAGUGGUGCGAUCACCACUGAAGGCUCAAUGUCCCGGGCUCAAGUGAUCCUCCCACUUCAGCCUCCUGAGUUGCUGGUACUACAGGUGCACACCACCAUACCUGGCUAAUUUUUUAUUUUUUUUUACAGAUACAUCUCACUAUGUUGCUCAGACUGGUCUGGAACUCCUGGCCUCAAGCAAUCCUCCCACCUUGGCCUCCCAAAAUGCUAGGAUUACAGGUGUGAGCCACUACACCCAGCCUACUUAAUUUCAAUCACCAAGCACAACUCAACCUUCAAUAAUUCCCAGCAAUCCUAUUAAAUUUUUCUGGAUUGUUCUCCCACUCUCGACAACUCUUUCACACCUUUGCAGUUUCCUCAAACUUCAGCCCUGCCCUUUCACAUCUUCUCAAAACAUGUGACUUUUAGUCACAGAGGAAUUUGAAAAUAUCAGGACCAAUGUGACUUGAGACAUGCUGAGCAAAGAAGAGGGUGUUAAGGGAUAAAGUCAGAGAAAGCAGAUCAAGGUAGGGGGCCAGUAGGGGCCUUGUAGGUCAUCUUAAGAAGUUUACAUUAUUCCAGUGGCAAUUAUUAACGAGUUUUAAGCAGAAGAGUGAAACUAUAUGAUCUGUGUUUUUAAAAAGAUAACUGACUGCUUUAUGGUGAAUGGACUACGAAAACAAAGCAAUUAUGAGGCUAUCUCAGUAGUCCAGGUAAGUAGAUAAUAGCCUGAACUAGGGUUGUGGCAGUGGAGGUGAUAAGAAGUGGUCAGAUUGAGAUAGAAUUUGAAAGAAGAGCCAAAAUAUUUGCUGGUGGCUUGACAGUGGGUUUGAUGGAGGAAACAAGGAUGCCUACUGUAUUUGGAGCUUGAGCGACUGGGUGAAUGGUGGCAUCACUCACUGAAACAUGUUAUUUGAGGUGCUCGUUAGACAUCAGGGUAGAGGUGUUGAGUAGGCAGUUCCAUAAACUAAGAUACAAGACUGAAGGUCAGGAAAAAUUAGAGCUGGAGAUACAAUUUUACCAGAGUUUACACCAGCAAUGUUUAGAAGCGGCAUAGGAUAAAGGUGAAGAGGAUAAAAGUUAUUGAAGCAGAUGGAUCUGAAUUUGCCUAUGCACCCCCCUGCCCCGUUGCUGUCUGUAACCUUAAGCAAAUUACUAAGCCUCUCUUUUAGAGGUUUACUUUGGAGGAUCAUAAUUCCUGUUCUCAUAGGAUUAUUUGUGAGUAUCAAAUGAAAUUAUGUAUUUAAAGCAUUUGACACAGUACCUGGCACAUAGCUAAGUACUCACAAAAUCAGAGCUUUUAAAAAGUGUCAUAAGUCACCUUUAUAAUCUUUUAAUCAGUUUUGUUUAUUUGUUUGUUUGUUUGUUUUGAGACGGAGUCUCACUCUGUCGCCCAGGCUGGAGCACAGUGGAGCAAUUUCGGCUCACUGCAACCUCUGCCUCCCGGGUUCAGGCAAUUCUCCUACCUCAACCUCCUGAGUAGCUGGGACUACAGGCACGCACCACCAUGCCUGGCUAAUUUUUGUAUUUUUAGUAGAGACGGGUUUUACCAUGUUGGCAGGCUGGUCUCGACCUCCUGACCUCAUGAUCCUCCCACCUCGGCCACCCAAAGUGCUGGGAUUAUAGUCGUGAGCCACCACACCCAGCCUAAUCAGUUUUAUUUUAAUUAUGCUUAUAUGUACACAGCCUGUGUCAUCCCCAUUUUCUAGGGAAGAAAAUUGGUCUGAUUUUUUUCUCAGAAACCUUUUCCAUGAUCUCAUGACUUCAUUUUUUAUUAAUAUCAUGAAAAGUAUUACAGUGCUUCUGAAUUUCUGGGUCUCCUAUCCAUGGAUAAACCAUUAUAACCAUGGUUUGAUGGUUAAUUAGCUUUCAUUCUAUACAUAUUUUUAUAGAAUUAAUUAGUUAACAUUCGUUCUAUACAUAUUUUGGAAACCAUCUUAGAUUCAGGUUAGGUUAUGGUGCUAUUUAAGGAAAACCAGUAGAACAACUUCUCUCUGGCCCCACAUUGGCCAAGGGAUGACCCACAUACAUUAUUUUGUAUUGUUUUUUAAUGACUUGUUCUUAAAGGUAUUGCCUGUGUUAUUGUUUUCCCAGCGAUGGUGAUUACUAGCUAGAAGCACAGUAGUCUCUAAACAACAACAGGAAAAGGUUCUUGAAAAAGAAAAUACACAAAUUAAUACCUUUUUGGUGCCGAGAUAAUCAUUGUUGGUAAUUUGGCACUCCCAUUGUCCCCAAGUCCUAGUAAGGUAAAAAAAUAUUCGUAUACAUUUAUAAAAUAUCUACUCAUGGGACAAAAUUCCAUAAAUAUUUAUAUGCUAACCAAAUGAUUAUGUACUGAAUACCAACAGGAAGACUAUGCAGGUGCUUUUCAGAUAAAUAUAAAUUACAGUAGCACUGGAAUUUUUCUAAGGGCAGAUAAUAGAAGUGUAAGCUAUGGAAAAGCCAACUGUACCAACUGUUCCAGUUGGCUCAGGACAGGGGUUUCCUGGGACAUGGAGUUUUCAGUACCCAAACUGGGAAGUCCCAGGCAAGCUGGGAUGGUUUGGUCACCCUACAGGGCAUCUGACCAAAAAUUCUUAUAUGUAAGCAAUUGUCUCUAAAAUCAAGUGAGAAGAAAUUGCUUUUUGUCAUUUUGUUUAUAAAAUCAGUUUUAAUGCAGCACUUUUUGUUUUUGUUUGUUUUGUUUUGUCUUUUUUUGGUGGGGGGGGGGUGGAAACAAAGUCUCACUCUAUUGCCCAAGCUGGAGUGCACUGGCAUGAUCUCGGCCCACUGCAACCUCUGCCUCCCAGUUCAAGUGAUUCUUCUGUCUGAGCCUUCCGCAUAGCUGGGAUUACAGGCAUGCGCCACUACGCCCGGCCAAUUUUUUGUAUUCUUAGUAGAGAUGGGGUUUCACCAUGUUGGCCAGGCUGUUCUCGAACUCCUGACCUCAAGUGAUCCACUUGCCUUGGCCUCCCGAAGUGCUGGGAUUACAGGCGUGAGCCACUGCGCCUGGCCUGUUUUUCUAUUGUUUCGUUUGUUUGUUCGUUUUGAGACGGAGUCUCGCUCUGUCGCCCAGACUGGAGUGCAGUGGUGCAAUCUCGGCUCACUGCAACCUCCACCUCCUGGGUUCAAGUGAUUCUCCUGCUUCAGCCUCCCAAGUAGCUGGGACUACAGGUGCGUGCCACCACGCCCAGCUAAUUUUUUGUAUUUUUAGUAGAGACAGAGUUUCACCAUGUAGCCAGGAUGGUCUAAAUCUCCUGACCUUGUGAUCCGCCCGCCUCAGCCUCCCAAAGUGCUGAGAUUACAGGCGUGAGCCACCACACCUGGCCUGUUUUUUGUUUUUUAAUGUUUUAGGUGUUCCUGUGUUUUACCAGGAAGGAGGUAAAGAAAUUAAAUUUUUAUCAAAGCACAAAAAGAGACACUGAUAAGCUGAGUACUUUGCAUUUCUGUAAAAACAUCUAUGUAUUUCAAAUUUUGCUAUAGAUACCAAUGAAGUAUUACAGCAUUAUUGAGAGAUCAUAUCACACCAGUUCUAAGUGUUAAUAAUAAUAAUAAGGUAUAGAGAAACUGAAGUUACCUGCCACAUUAGACGUCUGGUAGAGAUAGUGACAACCAAAAGUAGAACCCAAGAUUCUUAACUGCAGCCAUUUCUUUACGAUCUCCCCAUCCUGGUACAGUGACUCAUGCCUGUAAUCCCAGCACUUUGGAAGACCAAGGUGGGACAAUUACGUGAGGCUAGGAGUUUUAGACCAGCUUGGGCAACAUAGUGACACCCUGCCUCUACAAAAGAAUAAAAAAUAAGCAAAUUAGCGAGGGCUGAGUGCAGUGGCUCAUGCCUGUAAUCCUAGCACUAUGGGAGGCCAAGAUGGGAGAAUCACUUGAGCGUAGGAGUUCAAGGCCAACCUGGGCAACAUAGCAAGACCCUAUCUCAAAAAAAAAAAAAAGAAAAAAUGAGCCAAGCAUGGUGGUGCAUGCAUGUACUCCCAGCUACUCAGGAGGCUAAGGUAGGAGGAUCCAUUGAUCCUCCAGGAAUUUGAGGCUGCAGUGAGCUAUGAUCAUGCCACUGUACUCCAGCCUGGGUGACAGAGCAAGGCCCUGUUUCAAAAAAUAAUAAUAAAAAUAAAAGAUAUUCGCUACCUCACCUUUAUUCUAGAAAUACAGUUGUCCCUUGAUAUCUGCAGGAGAUUGGUUCCAGUACCCCAACAGAUAAGAAAAUCCAUGGUUGCUCAAGUUCCUUAUAUAAAAUGGCAUGCUAUUUGCAUAUAACCUACGUACAUCCUCUCAAGCACUUUAAAUCAUCUCUAGAUUACUUGUAACCCCUAGUGCAAUGUAAAUGCUUUGUAAAUGGUGGUUAUAUUGUAUUGUUACAUUUGAUUUUUUUAAUUGCCGUAUUCUUACUUUUUAUGUUUUUUUUUUUUUUUAAUAUUUUCACUCCAUGGUUGGUUGAAUCUGUGGAUGUGGAAACUGCAGAUACAAAGGGGCCUAUUGUACAGGGUCUAUAGACUUUAUUAUUGAGCCUGAGCUUUUAUACAAGUAAUUAUCUAAUGUGUGAUAAGAUAAUGCUGGAACUAGAGGGCAGGCACAGUGGCUCAUGCCUGUAAUCCUAGCACUUUGGGUGGCCAAAGCGGGCAGACCACUUGAGGUCAGGAGUUUGAAACCAGCCUGGCCAAAAUGGUGAAACCCCGUCUCUACUAAAAAUACCAAAAAAUUAGUCGGGCGUGGUGGUAGACACCUGUAAUCCCAGCUACUCGGGAGGCUGAGGCAGGAGAAUUGCUUGAACCCAGGAGGCAGAGGUUGCAGUGAGCCGAGAUCAUGCCACUGCACUCCAGCCUGGGCGACAGAGCAAGACUCCAUCUCAAAAAAGAAAAAAAAAAGAUAAUGCUGAAACUAGAGUAUAUACUAUCAUACAAUUGGACAAAUGUACAAAACCAUAGUGUCUAUGUGCCCCAUGAUUGCAAUAUACAUUUAUUUGGCCUUAAAUGUGUGCUUACACUACAACAAAAAGUAACAUAUGAUGACCUUCCAAAAAGUGAACGUAUAUUUAUCGUAAUGACUUAAGGACUUGAAGGAAAAGUAUUUUUGUAGCUAAAGUUUGCAAAACAAACAUUUCUCUGUAGUUCACAAUAUCUCUAGUUUAUUUUGUUGCUUUAUGGAUGUAUUUAAAUGGAUGAAUGGGCAAAAAGUGAGCAAAUAUAUUAUUGAGUCUAUACUAGAUGCCACACUAGAUGCAUAUGCAUUUUUUUUUUUUUUUUUUUUGAGACUUGCUCUGUCGCCCAGGCUGGAGUGCAGUGGCGGAUCUUGGCUUACUGCAAGCUCCGCCUCCCAGGUUCACACCAUUCUCCUGCCUCAGCCUCCCGAGUAGCUGGAACUACAGGCACCCGCCACCACACCCGGCUAAUUUUUUGUAUGUUUAGUAUGGUCUCGAUCUCCUGACCUCGUGACCUUUUGUAUGUUUAGUAUGGUCUUGAUCUCCUGACCUCGUGAUCCACCCGCCUCGGCCUCCCAAAGUGCUGGGAUUACAGGUGUGAGCCACCGCCCCCGGCUGCAUAUGCAUUUUUAAUUUCUUCUUUAUGAUCCUGUGAAGUUGGAAGUCUUAACUUCAUUUUAUAGAUGAGAAAAAAGCUCAAAGGUGGAAGUAAUUUACCAAAGUACACAACAAGUGGCAGAACCUUGAUUCAGAUCCAAGUUUUCAGAGUUCAAGUCCAGUUUUUUUCCAUAUUAAUUCUCAGUGAUUAUAAUAAGAUCUUAUUCUUAUUCUAAAAUUUGUCUUUGUAUUUUUAUAAGGGAGUAAUUGCUGUCAAUCCUACUGCUUUCUAGAUUGACAGCCAUAAACAUUGACUGUAUGUAGUAUUUGUUCCUCCUGGAAAUAGGUAAUAAAAGUAGCGUAGCGAAUAGACGUGUUAUCUUCUGUUCACAACGUUCUACUUUAUUCUUAUAAAUAUAAUCUUAGCAUUCUUUUUUUUGUUGUUGUUGUUGUUGUUUGAGACAGAGGCUCGCCCUGUCGCCCAGGCUGGAGCGCAAUUGCGCAAUCUCGGCUCAUUGCAACCUCCACUUCUCAGGUUCAAGCAAUUCUCUUGCCUCAGCCUCUCAAGUAGUUGGGAUUACAGGCACCCACCACCACGCCCGACUAAUUUUAUGUAUUUUUAGUAGACACAGGGUUUCACCAUGUUGGCCAGGCUGCUCUCAAACUCUUGACCUGAGGUGAUCCACCUUGGCCUCCCAAAGUGUUGGGACUACAGGCGUGAGCCACUGCACCUGACUUAAUCUUAGCAUUCUUAAUGAAGACUUACAGUACAUAAGCCAUGAUUUUUUUGGUCAGGCAAUCAAUAGUUACUUAUUAGUGUCUACUCAAUGCAAAGCACCUUUCUUGGCAUUCUGGAGAAACAAAGAGAGAUUAUAAUUUAGGGAAGGAGAUAAAUUAAAAGGUUAAUUUAAAAAAUGAUAAGUGCACAGUUGAAGAGAUGUCACAAGCCAAGAAGACUGGCACAAAUGGUAGUGCUAAAGGAGUUCUUGGUCAUGGUGCCAUGUGCCUGUAAUCCCAGUUACUUGAGAGGCUGUGACAGGAGGGUUGCUUGAACCAAGGUGUUCAAGACUAGCCUGAGCAACAUAGCAAGUCCCGAUCUCAAAAAAAAAAAAAAAAGUUAUAAAAAAAGAUAGGUUCAAAUCCUAGCUAGGGAAAAAAAGAUAGAAGUCACUAGACUGGCAUAUUCUACAAAAGCAUAAUUGCUAGACUUUCUUAUGCGUCCUGCCUUUGUAACUGCUGUUGCCUCUGCCUGAUCUCCUUUCCACCUACUCUUUCCCACAAACUAAUUCAUGUGCUUCAAAACUACUAUUUUUUUCGUAUCAUUUCUAAUAUGGUGCUUGAUGCCUAGAACAUGUAGUCAUCUAUGUAAUGCCCAUUCCCAACAAACUUCCAAGCUUUUGUUAAUGCUGGAAUAAAUUAAUAUAAACCUAAAGUUUAUGAAUUAGUAUAAACCUAAAUGUCUGAAAAUAAUAGACAUGUAGUAUUGUAUUCUUACCUCAAAAUAUGUUGAAUCUUGCCAACAUUAAAUCAACACUGGUGUUCUUGCCUGUUAAUUCUUCUAGGUGUUCAUGAAAACUUGAAGGUUGUGUGGAGCAGAAGGAAGAGGGGGUCUGAUAUGCAUGUUCUCCGUGGCACUCCUUAUCUAGGAUUUCUCUAGGGCAAAUGCUCAUUUUACCUCCCACAUCCCCAGUGGUAACUCAGCCUUUAAUACUUCAUGGCAAGAUAGGAUUGAUGUUGGAAUCCAGCUAAAUUGGAUACAAAUGGUACAAUGCAGCUUGGUUAUGAAUGAAUAAAGGACUGCAACAGGAAGCAAAAAUCUUUAGGACUUGAAGAUUGUAGUAAUAGUAAACCCAGAAAUAGCAGCACCUGAUAGGACCACACAGCCCCAAAGUUUUCAGAAAUGAAAAAGCUUUCUUUUUUUGUCUUUUUGUUUUCUCUCUUGGUUUUUUGGUUCUUUUGGUUUCAUUUGAGACAAUACCAUGAUUUAGUAGGCAUAGUCACCUCUUCCACCCCAGGAACCAAAUGCCACUCCCUACAGUUAUUUUGCAAAGUGGCAUCACAGACAUCUUUAGUAAAGUAAUAAUGGAGAGCUUGUGAUACUUGACAAGAAGUCUUUAUAAGCCGCUUCACAUUUUGCUUUCUGGAAAAGAUAAUUUAACAUUGGAUACGUGGAUUGACACAUUUAAAUUGCUGGAGCAGCAUACCAAGUUCCUUUUUUUUUUGUUAUUUUGAGGUGAAGUUUCAGUUUCGCUGUUGUCCAGGCUGGAGGGCAAUGGCGCGAUCUCAGCUCACCACAACCUCUGCUUCCCGGGUUGAAGCAAUUCUCCUGCCUCAGCCUCCUGAGUAGCUGGGAUUACAGGCAUGCGCCACUAUGUCUAGCUAAUUUUGUAUUUUUAGUAGAGAUGGGGUUUCUCCAUGUUGGUCAGGCUGGUCUCAAACUCCCGACCUCAGGUGAUCCGCCCACCUUGUCCUCCCAAAGUGCUGGAAUUACAGGCGUGAGCCACCGCACCCGGCCUCAAGUUCCCAUUUUAAAGAAUUUGACAGGACAAUAAAGUAAUUAAAAUCAUUACAUUGUAUCUACAUGUUAUUAAAACAGAAUAGUCCUGGAGGUUUAUACCAUAUUGAUUAGUAUAUUUGUUUACAUUAAGCAAAGCCGAGCAUAUGUGGGCACAUUUUUUUUCUAAAUCACAAGCUGCAUGUAUGAGCCGUGAGCCUUUGUUUCUCCUAAGUGAGUGUAUAUGGGAGAUUGCAGGUGGAGAGGGUCAGACAGAGGGAUGAGAUAUUGUGCAACAGUGAGUAUUCUUACUCAGCUGACUUUGAGAGGCACAAUAGUGUGGUAGUUAGCACCAUACAUGCCAGAGCUAGAAACCCUACUUAUUAAAUAUGUGACCUUAGGCAAAUUAGUUUACCUCUUACAAGCCU